ensembl:rRNA 5S_rRNA 5S ribosomal RNA
GCUUACGGCCAUACCACCUUAGGCACGCCCGAUCUCGCCUGAUCUCGGAAGCUAAGCAGGGUCGGGCCUGGUUAGUACUUGGAUGGGUGACCGCCUGGGAAUACCAGGUGCUGUAAGCA